rnacentral:rRNA from 1 species
UGGGGAAUAUUGGACAAUGGGGGAAACCCUGAUCCAGCAAUGCCGCGUGAAUGAAGAAGGCCUUAGGGUUGUAAAGUUCUUUCACCUGUGAAGAUAAUGACGGUAGCAGGAGAAGAAGCCCCGGCUAACUCCGUGCCAGCAGCCGCGGUAAGACGGAGGGGGCUAGCGUUGUUCGGAAUGACUGGGCGUAAAGGGUGCGUAGGCGGUUUUUUAAGUGAGGCGUGAAAGCCCUGGGCUUAACCCAGGAAUUGCGUUUCAGACUGGAAAGCUUGAGUGCGAGAGAGGUAAGUGGAAUUCCUAGUGUAGAGGUGAAAUUCGUAGAUAUUAGGAAGAACACCAGUGGCGAAGGCGGCUUACUGGCUCGUAACUGACGCUGAGGCACGAAAGCGUGGGGAGCAAA